AUUUCGCCAACAGUGAAUGCAAGUUUCUACCGCUCCACAACCUUACUAGCAAUUGGUGUCAUCAAACUAUGCAUGAGGUCUUCUACCAAAUGAGUAUUUUAUUCAACAUCUACUAUAUGUGGGCCUAACUGACUCAUCUGUCAAAUCAGUUGCAAUACCCUAUCCUUCAUACCUUUGCAAAACAUGACUAAAGUCACACAGUCUAUGUUAGGAACUUCUUUGGAACACAUAAUUUCAUAUUCAAAAUGUACGGAGUAGAAGGAAGAGAAAAGAAUAAGAUGAAAAGACUCCGAAGCUGAAAGCCAUUAGCGAAGACAGGUCUAAGUGGCUCAAUUCAUCUCGAUCCUGCAGCACGCUUUGAAGAUUUUACAUUUCCACCCGUGUUCACUUCUGAUCUCGGCAGAGAGCGCGUCUGUGUCCAUCCACAGGCGGCAUGGAGAGCCAGCAUGCUACAGAGCUGCAGGAGGGGAGAAGAGUCCUUUCAAGAUGGCAAUCCAUGAAGAUUCAGUGAACAGUGUCUCCUUGUAGCAUCUGCAAUACA
rnacentral:lncRNA from 1 species